rnacentral:lncRNA from 1 species
CGUGGGGUUAGCUCUCCCGACUCUGGCGAUUUCAGUGCAUUCUUUAAAGUCCUAAACCAGCAGAUAAAAACAGUGGAAGGGCAGGACUGUGUGAGGUUCCUUAUCUGCAAAAGAAGAGAAACUCGUGCUCUGAGCCCCUGCUACCUCUCCUUCUGGACCACUUGUUUUCGAAAAGUAUAACAUGUACAAAUGUGCCAGAUCCCCAUUUUCUGUCAAUUUCUAGGAGGAUGUGACUAAGGCGCCCUCCCCGCGCCAAAGGGAAGCGCCGCGCGCAGAGCGCAGCACGUCCCGGUGCAGAAUUCCGCCUCCUUUCUCCAUCCCAGACGUGCAAGGUCUCCGCGCCCUGGGAGCCUGGGCUUCCUCAUUCUUAGACUGAGGACUUGGUGAGGCCCGCGGAGGGUCCUUCUUCCAGCUCUAAGGUUCUUGCGACCAAAUUGCUUCUCCCAGAGGAGUGUUGGGAAAUAUGACCGGCCAGGACCUUGGGGUCACCUCAGGAGAUGCCUGUGGCACUGCUGGGGGACACCCAACUCACUAACAAGGACAGUGACUAAGAGCAGAGCACUCACUGUGGCUUCCCAAACUCUUCACCACCCAGGAUAUCAUUUUAUUUUGUUCUGUUUGUUUUUCAGUCCUCAGAGACUUCACGUUUUGAAAACUGGUAUCUGUCAAUUAAAGUACAUUGAUUAAGCA